GCCUUAGUUUGCCUAUCCAUGGGUUAGAGCGUGGUGCCGAUAAUGCCAAGGUUGCAGGUUCGAUCCCCGUAUGGGACA